rnacentral:lncRNA from 1 species
GGAAUUAUAUGAAACUAUGAUAUUAAAUAUGUAAUGAUUUGUUAUUGAACAUUAGUUACCCUAUUAAUUAUUCAGGCAAAGUCAAAUAUAAUUGGCAUGCCAUAGGAUUAGAUUGUGUACGAGUUUAUACUUUGAUCUUUUUGAUGAUGCACUAGUGUCACGGACUUAGAAUUUUUCCACGCGAUCUGUGCGGCCUUAGGCAGUUUCUUUGCUUAAAAAACGCCUAAGUUAGCCUAACUCGCAAUGAUAACGGAUUCAACAGUAAAAACACCUAAGUCAGCUUAAUCUCGCAAUGAUAAAGGAUUCAACAGAAUUCCCUCAAGGCACCCACGAAGAACAGCAGAAGAACGAAGUAAGAACGAACUUUGAAAGAUGAACAAAAGCAAUAACGCUUGGGAGAAAAGUUUGAGUGAACACUCUCAAAAUUCUUAUUA